rnacentral:rRNA from 1 species
UACGAAGGGGGCUAGCGUUACUCGGAUUGACUGGGCGUAAAGGGCGCGUAGGCGGAUGGUACAGUCAGACGUGAAAUUCCUGGGCUCAACCUGGGGGCUGCGUUUGAUACGUGCUGUCUGGAGUUCGGAAGAGGGUCGUGGAAUUCCCAGUGUAGAGGUGAAAUUCGUAGAUACUGGGAAGAACACCGGUGGCGAAGGCGGCGACCUGGUCCGAUACUGACGCUGAGGCGCGAAAGCGUGGGGAGCAAACAGG